rnacentral:lncRNA from 1 species
UUUCUGGCUGAUGUUAAUCACAAUUUUUCUUAUAGUGAUUAACUAAGUUCCCAUGGAUCUUGCAUGGGAAUUAUUUUAUUUCAUGUUUGUUAGCUGUCUACAUAAAAAUAUUUCAAGAAAUAAAUUAUUCUCGAUAACCUUUCCAUCACAUUGUUUUAUUUUUAUUCGUUGCACAAUUAAUGAUGAUUUCAACGUUGGUAUUUUUUGUUUUCUUUCGUACAUGUUCAUAGAUCAUUUUCCAAUUUAUUUUCA